AACCACAAAUGAUGAUGAAAGUUAUCCCUGUCAGAAUCCAGUUGUUGAUAUCUGUAACUCCUGAUGUGGUA